UAUGUCCUUUCAGAGUAUCAUUGGAGGGCAGUCUGGUGCCAGCAGCCGCGGUAAUUCCAGCUCCAAUAGCGUAUAUUAAAAUUGUUGCAGUUAAAAAGCUCGUAGUUGAAUUUCUGCUGCAUCGUCGCAUCUCUUGCUGAGUGCUUCGUUUCGGCUUAUUUCGGAUUGAUUUUUUCUUUCCGGAUGAUUACUUUGAGAAAAUUAGAGUGCUCAAAGCAGGCUUUUGCCUUGAAUAGUUUAGCAUGGAAUAAUAAAGUAGGACUUUGGUUCUAUUUUGUUGGUUUUAGGUACCAAAGUAAUGGUUAAUAGGAACAGUUGGGGGCAUUCGUAUUUAACUGUCAGAGGUGAAAUUCUUAGAUUUGUUAAAGACGAACUACUGCGAAAGCAUUUGCCAAGGAUGUUUUCAUUAAUCAAGAACGAAAGUUAGGGGAUCGAAGACGAUCAGAUACCGUCGUAGUCCUA
rnacentral:rRNA from 1 species